rnacentral:rRNA from 1 species
CUACGGGAGGCAGCAGUCGCGGAACUUUUACAAUGCGCGAAAGCGUGAUAAAGCAAGCCAAAGUGUUUUUCUUUUUGAAAAACUUUUCUUUAGUGUAAAAAACUGGAGGAAUAAGGACUGGGAAAGACUGGUGGCCAGCCGCCGCGGUAAUACCAGCAGUUCGAGUGGCAUCCACUUUUAUUGGGUCUAAAACAUCCGUAGCUUGUUCGUUAAGUCUUUUGUGAAAUCCUACGUCUCAAGCGUGGGGCUUGCAGGAGAUACUGACGGGCUAGAGAUCGGUAGACGUAAGGAGUACGUCGGGGGUAGCGGUUAAAUGUGUUAAUCCUCGGUGGACUAACGAUGAGCGAAGGCACCUUACGAGGACGAAUCUGACAGUGAGGGAUGAAGGCCAGGGGCGCAAAACGGAUUAGAUACCCGCGUAGUC